GGCACUAUGGCGGAAUUGGCAGACGCAGUGGACUCAAAAUCCACCGACCUUCACUGGUCGUUUCGGUUCGACCCCGAAUAGUGCCACCA
rnacentral:tRNA from 1 species